rnacentral:rRNA from 1 species
GACGAACGCUGGCGGCGUGCUUAACACAUGCAAGUCGAACGGAAAGGCCCUGCUUUUGUGGGUUGCUCGAGUGGCGAACGGGUGAGUAACACGUGAGUAACCUGCCCUUGACUUUGGGAUAACUUCAGGAAACUGGGGCUAAUACCGGAUAGGAGCUCCUGCUGCAUGGUGGGGGUUGGAAAGUUUCGGCGGUUGGGGAUGGACUCGCGGCUUAUCAGCUUGUUGGUGGGGUAGUGGCUUACCAAGGCUUUGACGGGUAGCCGGCCUGAGAGGGUGACCGGACACAUUGGGACUGAGAUACGGCCCAGACGCCUACGGGAGGCAGCAGUGGGGAAUAUUGCACAAUGGGCGGAAGCCUGAUGCAGCAACGCCGCGUGCGGGAUGACGGCCUUCGGGGUGUAAACCGCUUUCGCCUGUGACGAAGCGUGAGUGACGGUAAUGGGUAAAGAAGCACCGGCUAACUACGUG